UAAAUAAAAUCUUUAAAAAAAAAAAGAAAGAAAGAAAGAAAGAAAGUAGGGGAAAGGGUACUUCCGGCGCGGCACGCCCCUACCGGUCGCCUGUCGAGUGGACCGAGUGCGGUACCCGAGCCCAGCCGGCCCCCAGCACCUGCUGCGGGCGCAGCUACACCAUGGAGCGCCUUGAUAAAAGAGCGCUGAAUGCGCUGCAGCCGCCCGACUUCAGAAAUGAAAGUUCACUAGCAUCUACCUUGAAACGCUCCUGUUUUUCACAGCUCUAAUGAUCACUGUACCUAUUGGGUUAUAUUUCACGACUAAAUCUUAUGUUUUUAAAGGCGCCUUUGGGAUGUCCAAUAGGGACAGCUAUUUUUAUGCUGCUAUUGUUGCGGUGGUCGCCGUCCACGUGGUGUUGGCCCUCUUUGUUUAUGUGGCCUGGAAUGAAGGCUCACGACAGUGGCGUGAAGGCAAACAGGAUUAAAUUGGACAUCACCUUUUGAUAGCAUUAAAUUGAUUUUUUUAAAUGGUAAAUGUGUCUGGGAUAUUGAUGAUUUCAAUAAAGUUGAGAACAUGUUAAAAUCAAAAAAAAAAAGUAGGGAAAAGAUGUUUGAGGAUUUUUUUUUUAAGAUUUUAUUUAUUUGACAGAGACAGAGACAGCGAGAGCAGGAACACAAGCAGCGGGAGUGGGAGAGGGAGAAGCAGGCUUCCCGCGGAGGAGGGAGUCCGAUGUGGGACUCGAUCCCAGGACCCUGGGAUCAUGACCUGAGCCGAAGGCAGAUGCUUAACGACUGAGCCACCCAGGCGCCCUGAGGAUUUUUUUUAAAGAGAUUUUUUUUUUUCCAGAGAGUUAAGGGGAAAAAUAUUUUUGUUCUCAGAGUUUUUCAGUAUACUUUCCAAGCCAUCAAGUUUCUAAAUAUAACCAAAGAUGAUUUUACAAGCAACCCAAUAUAAACACAUAGAUGUUUAUAUUUCUACAUUAACAACAUGACAUUGGAGCUGCAAAAAGUUCUUUCGAAUUGGCUAUAUUUUAUUUUUCUAAAAAAAUAAGUCCCCUUUUGAGUCCCCUUUUAAAAUAUAACACCACCUCCACCCCAUCCUGGCUUUAAAUUUCAAGAGAAGUCAGAAUUUAGGAUGGAGGACAGAGGGGUGGAGGAGCAGGAGGGAGGUGGGGGGGUUAAGCAUUUGGGCAGGAAGGGGAAGGGGAGGACUUUUUGCAGAGCCUUACCUAAAAGUAGUACUGCAUAGCCUUUAAUGUGUAUUUGGAUCAUCUAGGGAUCUGGUGAAAGUGCAAGUCUAGGCUGGGACUCCCGGAUGAUGCCCAGGCUGCUGGUCCAUGGACAACUUGGAGCAACAAGGCCUUGGAGUCAGGGAAUUUGCUCUUCCACCCUGGUCUGUCUGCGUUUCACUGGCCAUGACUUCUUUCUUUCUAACCUAACAUUUUUUUGUCAGGAUACCCAAUAGCAGAAGCUUUUCAGAAAGUCAUUUUACCAUAUACAAGGUCCAGUUUAAGGCCCUAUGCACGGAAGUGAGGAAAAUGGGAAACAGAAUAGGGAAUGGGCAGGAGCCCCUGAGACACAAAUGGUAUUUGUUAGAAAGGGUGUGGCAUUAUGGAAAAAGCCCUGGACCGGUUGUCGGAAGACCUGGCUUCAUUAACCAGUUGUGUGCCUUUGUGCCAGUCACUUCUCUCCAGUCUUCCAUCUCUUUUCCUGUCAAAAGACUUGGUCUACCUGGCUUCUAAAAUCUUUUUGGCUCUGACACUUGAGGAGUCUAUAAAGAGAGCCUAUAUCAACAGGAGGGAAGAAAAGAAAGAUGCGCCACCACACACAUAGCUGCCAAGGAUCCUGUACAUGUGGUAUCAUAAUGGAAGAAUUUUUCCCUUGUCUGCCCAGAUGCAGAAAUGUUGGAGUGAGAGACUGGGAAACAUGCCUAGUAUGAAAUCCUAGUACCCUGACUUCCUGGUUUUGGCAAUUUAGUCUUGGGAAUCUGUCCCAGGCUCUGUAAAGUAAGACAGACCAUGAAAACAGGCCCUCUAAGAACUUCAGUGUGGCUCUGGCAGCCUUUAGAUUCUAAGGUCCUCAAUCCUUGGGGCCACCCUCAUGUUUUACCUCAUUCCCCUACACUGAUCAGCAGCCAAAUUCUGAAGCCACUUGAGCUUACAGUCUCAGCCAAAUGGCCCUACUGCCUUCCUGUUUGUGAAAGCCUCCAAUUCCCAGCCUGUGGCCAAAUCCAAUUUUUGCAGCACUCAACCCUUCCCCCAAGAUCACCCUCUGGACUUGAGUCUCCCACAUGCUGCAGACUCUUUUUGGGCCUAGAGCAGCCAAGCCUAAGGGAAUUGGAAAGGCCAGAUGGUGACACUUCUUUCUCUACAUUUAAAAUCGUCCUAUGCUCAAAGGGAGGCUCGGCCCCUAGUUUGAUAAGCACAGGGUGGGAAAGGGACCUGCUGUGGUGAGAUUACCCAGACUCUGGGGCAACCUCCUACAGUUCUGCCUCACACCCCAACAGACCUGCACUCUUCACCUUUUCACUUACUCAACGGGCCUACGGCUAUUCUAGCAAAGACUCCCAAGUCAUCCAUAAGCAUGCUAGCAUCAGGCUGCUUCCUGUGGUUUAAGGCAGGCAGCCUCCAUCCAUGUUCCUGGGACCCUGUCCCCCAGCAGACAUUCACUCAGGGCAUGGCCUCCUGAGGCAUCCAUUUGGGAUGCAGGGACCCUGUGGGCUGCAAGAGGAGUUAUUUUUCCCUCCGGCCCCAGCCUAGGCUGUGCUGAAUGAUGGGGCUGGCUAGCACAAAGACUGCUUUUUAUGUUGGUCCUUGGUAUUUUUGGUGUCUGGAAAGAGCUUCCUUUCCUCCCAUAGUUAAUUAGCAGCAUAGGAGCAUUUCCCUUUCCUCAACAGAAAGUCUUUUCCUGCCCCUGGGGCCAGGCAGAGGGGUGGCAGGUGUGGCUAAGCGCUCCCUGAGGUUAACCUCAAACUUCAGCUUAGAGCCACACUUGAUGAGAAGCAAAGUGAAAAGCAGGGUUAGCUUCCAUUGGGGCAGAGUUGGCAAGUGGGUACAGGCCCCUGGCAAGCCAGGGGAUUAUUUUCUAGUCUCCCAAUCAGGUGAGGGGACAGGAGAAGGGGGUGGGGAACCAAUGUGUGUUUGACACGUUUGUGAAUUGUUCCUAUAGCAAAGGCUUUUAAAAAAAAAAAAAAAAAACAGAGUGGAGCUUUAUAUAUGUGAAUGAGAGGCUCACAGAAGGACCUAUUGUCAGGAGGAAAAAUUGCAUGAGUAAUUGUGCAUGACUUCAGUCUUCCCAGUAGAAAUGUUAGGCGUGUUAAGGAUGAUUGUGGACAUUCCAGUGUUUUCAACGUGGGGAAGAGAGAGGAGGGAACUCCUGAGAGGUGAGGAGGCAGGUUGUCUAGCAAGGCAGGGGAGACAGGAACCUAAAAAGCUCUUCCUCCACUUUUCUUGUUGGUUCCCAUUCUUCCUCUACUUAAUUAAGGUAUCACCUCCUACAGGAAGCCUUCCUGCCCCUACCUCCUUCUCUCACCUCCCACUUUAGGUGUCCUUGAUAGGUAUCUACUGUAUUAUCAUUAUUUACUAGACCGUGAUACUACUGAUAGUUUAUAGAGCAGUGGGCAUGGACCCCAGCACCGGAUUCCACCACUUCCUAAAUGUAUAACUCUGGCCAAAUUACUUAAUCUCUCUGUGUCUCAGUUUCCUCAUCUAUAAAUGGGAGUAAUACCUACCUUCUAGGGUUGUUAUCAGGAUUAAAUGUGUUAAUACAUAUAAGGCGCAUAGAAUAGUGCUUGACAUAUGGUAUGUACUCAAUAAAUAUUAGCAAUUAUUAUUUUUAUUUGUAUCCCCAGUCGUUAACACAAUUUGUAAUAUAUCAUGGGGCAGUGGUUUUUCAACCCUCGUAUGUAUCAUCAUUGCUUGAGCAGCUUUAAAAAUAUAUGAAUCUGGGCACCAUUGGUCUAGGAGUGAAAACUGAUCGUGGUAUUUGGGGAAAGUUCCCAGGUAGUUUUAUUUUGCCUCCAAAGUCACAGGUGCUCAAUGAAUAGAUGAAUAGAUGAACCAAAUGGGAUCAGAAGGAACCAACACAGGUGACAUCAUCCUUAGGAAUGUCAAAGCAUGAUUCUGUCCCCUUCAGAAAGUUUAUUAUUUCCUGAGGCAGACUUCCAAAGAAUGAUAUGACAGUGAAUGUAAUGGAAUACAUGAAAGAAUAUAAUUUUCAUCAUCUCAACAUACUGCUCUAUUGAAGAAACAGAAAAACGAUUAGCUAGAGCUAAUAUUAGAGAUCAAUAGGUAUUUCCUCUUCUGCUCUCUUUUGUUUAUGCAGACUUAUUGCUCAGAGAAUUGCCAUAACAACUCCAACCAGAGCUGAACUUUGACCUUUCCUCCAGUUUUAAUUCCGACUUGCCACCAAGUCUUUAAUUCAGUGGAUGUAAGAAAACAUUUAAAGUCCCCAAAUAAAGCAUUUCUGCCCCUGUAAUGUACAGUUGCAAUAUGUUGUUAUCAUAGCAUAUUGUAAUUAGUUGCUUUAUCGAGUUGGUUUACAAAAUUUAAACUGACUGCGGCUCAUAAAACAGGAAGUCAGGCAUCUCACAAUGGAAAUAAUGAACUAUAGCCAGGGCUCUUACUCUCAAGGCCCGUAUAUAUUAAUGGGGGAAGUAAAGAUAAACAUACUGAAAACUAGAGAAAACGAAUACAGCAGAGACAUUUAAAUAGUAUGUAGCGGGAUAAAGUGGUCUUGGAGUCAGAUUUAGGCCUAUUUCUUAUUAGCCAUCUGACCUCAAUUAAUUCAAUUAACCUUCCUGAAUUUCAGCUCCCUUAUCAACCAAAUGUGGAUUCUGAUGCCUAUGUUACAGGAUUGUUGUGAGGCUUCAGAGCGAUACUAUACAUAAGUGUCUGGCACUUUUUAUUAAAUGAAAUCAUCUUAAUGAACAAAGAGCUGUAUUCCAGCAGCACAAUUUGUUGUCAGCAAUUUCAUUAUCAAGAGGAAAGAUCAUAUGAAACAGGACUCAAAUCAAAAUGGAGAACUAAACAUGAACAUAGACCCGCCCUACCACCAUAAACCCCUUAAAGGACAGACAAGAUAGCAGAAAAAGCAGCAGAAAUUAUGAUAAAAAUCUGGAUAGAAAGCAGUUAGGAUCACACUGAUAGACAACUCAGGAUGAGUAUUAACAUACUCCAAAACACUCGUAAGGUAAAUUUCUUUGAAGGUGGGGGCAGGGAAUCUCCUAGCUCAGUGGAAGCAAAUAGAAGGAAUACGAGGGGUUGGAAAGCACUCGUCAGGAUUAUUCAUCUUUAAACUGCCCUGUGCACAACAGACCUCUCUCCUCUUCCCUCCACUUCAGAGAGCUAUAGGUCAGGGGUAGGGGUCAGGAAGGUGGACUAAAACACAAAGUUUCACUCUAAGAAGGGAAAUCCCCUGUCUGGGGAGGGUGUCUGCUGGUGUGUAAGGGCCUGUGAGAAAAGCAGGGCUGGAAGUAAUCCUAUCCAACUUCCAUGGACACAGAGAGGAAAAAGGCAAAGCUGUUCCUGCCCAGCCUGUCAACUGUGGCUUCACUGAAGUAAAGGCCUCCAUAUUUUGGCAUCUGGGGAUGGGCAAAGGACCAAGUGGGGAGGAGGGUGGUCCCCGAGCCUGCCUCUCUGCCUGCUCUAAGCACCUUACUGGGAAGUCUGCAGUCAAAAUGACCUACUCACAGAGUCCCUAGUAACCCUCCAUUCACCAAAGGAGACUAGAGGGGAAAUGGACAGCUCAAAAUUGAAGUGAAAACUUAAACAAAAUACCUGCUAAUUAGCCCAUUCUUCAAACAUAGAUAUGAUGAAAAACCAAGGAUCACCAGAUAGCUGAGGAAAUUCAAACAGCUCUAAAGAAAAGGAUUAAGAUGAACAAACUGAGGGACGCCUGGGUGGUUUAGUCGGUUAAGCAUCUGCCUUCGGCUCAGGUCAUGAUCUCGGGGUCCUGGGAUCAAGCCCUGCACCAGGCUUCCCUGCUCAGGGGGAGUCUGUUUCUCCCUCUCCCUCUGCCCCUCUAUUACCCUGCUGUGCUUUCUCUCUCUCAAAUAAAUAAAUAAAAUUUUUAAAAAUAUAUGUAAACAAACUGAAAACUGACUCCAGAGAAAAGACAGAUAAAGGAACAGAAAAAAACAGUUUAAAAAUUCUAACAAAAAUAAAUAAAUAAAUAAAUAAAUAAAUAAAUAAAAUCUAAAUAGCAUCAUCCUUCAAAAGAUCCACGAGGAUAUUAUAGCAGGCUGCUAUGAAAAAGAAACAACAAACAGGGAAUUAAAAAUUAUGAUAGUAAAACUAAAAAAGCAGUAGAUGGGAUGAAUAAUAAGAUGGGUGUGGCAAAAACUGGGGAUGUUAAGAAGUUAAGUGUGAGGAGAUGUCCCUGAAUAUAUAGAAACGAUCAGGAAUGGAAAAUUUGAGAGAAAAAUUGAGAGACUACUAGGGACUGAAUUGUGUUCCCCUCAAAUUCAUAUAUUGAAGCCCUAAACUCAGUGUGACUGUAUCUGGACAUAGACCCUGUGAGGAGGUGAUAAAGGUUAAAUGAGGUCAAUUCAAUAAUUCAAUGGGGCUGGUGCCUUUAUACAAAGAGGAAGAGACACCACAGCUAUCUCUCUGCCAUGUGAGGACACAGCAAGGACACAGCCAGAAGGCAGCUGUCUACAAGCCAGGAAGAGAGCCCUCACUGGAAAAUGAAUUGCCUAGCAUCUUGAUCUUAGCCUCCAAAAUUGUGAGAAAAUAAAUUUCUGUUGUGUAAGCCACCCAGUAUAUGGAAUUUGGUUAUGACAGCCUGAGCAGAGUAAUACAGAGACACAAAGGAUCAAUUCAGAAGUGCCUCCUUUCAUUCAAAAGAAAUGCCAGUAAAGAACUGAGAAUUGGUGGGGAAGAGAUCCACAAAGAAAUAUUAAAAGAAAACUUCCCCAACCCGAAGAAAGGCUUCAAUACUUCACAGGGCCUGCUAAGUGGCAGGCAAGGAACAUUUUCAAAGAUGCUUACUUAGACAAAUACUUGGGAUGUUUCAGAGCCAAAAAGACAAAGAAAAAACUCUAAAAGUAUUCAAAGAAGAAAAACAGGUUACCUACAAGGAACAAAAAUGAAUUGGCUGUCAGACUUCUGAAAGGUCACUCUGAAUGCUGGACAGCAAUGAAGCAAUCACUUCAAACUUGGAAAGAAAAUAAUUUUGACCCAGAAUUAUAUACCAUGCUAGCCAAACUAGCUUUCCAAUGAGGUAGCAAAAUCAAGACCUUUUCUUUUUACCCUCCAGGUCUUCAAAAGUGAGUAAACUUGAUGAAAUCCAACACUAGCAAGGUUUUAGGGGAAAUGGCCCCCUCAUACUCCAUGGGAGUGUCAUUUGAUACUGCCGUUUUGACAGGGCUACUUGGAAGUAUGUAUCAGCAUUUUUCUUUUCCAGCUAUCUAACCUGGAGAAGCGCUUUUACAAAUGCACAGAAGCCUUGUCUAGCACUGUCUUGCACCACUGUGAGUGGUGCAGAUCCUGGAGUCAGAGUGCUUUGUUCAAAUCCCAGCUCUGCUACUUAUUAGUUAUGAGACUUUGGGUAAGAUUACCUUAGUGCCUCUCCAGUGAAAUGAGGAUGAUAAUAUGUACUCCCUAUUUCAUAGGGUUGUUCUGAGAAUUGAGUGAGUUACUACAUGCAAAGUGCUUAGAACAGAUCUUUGUACAGACUAAGCAUUUGAUAAAUGAGUAUUACUGUCAUGUAUUAUAGAGAGAAGUUAGAUGUUAUCUUAGGACAUUAGACAGUAAAAUACUUCCAAUUUUGUGCCACUGGAAAUACAUGAUGCUGCAGUGUUUGAUGUGGCACAAUAUUGGAGGACCUAAUAUCUAUAAAUAGGAGAAUGGUACAACUAUACUAUGGAAUACUAUGCAGCCGUUAAUAAAAAAGGUGGUAGAAUUAUACUAACUCCAUGUGCUAUCAAUGAAAGAUCCCACAUAUUGCUAAAUGAAGGUGAGGAAGGAUAAGCAAAUUGCUGAACAAUAUAUAUAGAUUAUCCCAUUAAAAAAAUACAUGAAUGGGGCUCCUGGGUGGCUCAGUUGGUUAAGUGACUGCCUUCGGCUCAGGUCAUGAUCCUGGAGUCCCGGGAUCAAGUCCCACAUCAGGCUCCCUGCUCAGCAGGGAGUCUGCUUCUCCCUCUGACCCUCCACCCUCUCAUGCUCUCUCUAUCUCAUUCUCUCUCUCAAAUAAAUAAAUAAAAUCUUUAAAAAAUAAAAAUAAAAAAUAAAAAAAUACAUGAAUGUACAUAUUGCACAUGUACACAGAGAUAUACCACCGUAGGGCAAAGCAGGGGGAGCUGUCUGUCCUGAGUGCAGGCAGUAAGGGGAUAUAGCAACUGAGGAUAAUUUAAAACAAUAAUUUUAGGGGUGCCUGGGUGGCUCAGUCGGUUAAGCGUCUGCCUUCGGCUCAGGUCAUGAUCUCAGGGUCCUGGGAUGGAGCCCUGUGUCGGGCUCCCUGCUCAGCAGGGAGUCUGGCUUCUCCCUCUUCCUCUGCCUCUCCCCACUGCUCCUCCUCUCUCUCUCUCUGUAUCUCUUUGUCUCAAAUGAAUAAAUAAAAAAUUCUUUAAAAAAACAAAACAAAACAAUAAUUUUAAGGAAUAACUUGAAAACAAUAAUAGAUGACAAUAAAAUCUAUUUAAUCUGCUUCUUAUUAUCACCAUGAACAAUGAAAACAAACAAUGUCAGUGAUAAAAUGCUCCUCCAGCCAGGGCAGUCAGCUCUUCCUGUCCCCCCAGCCUCUAAUCCUAGAUGCUACUGCAUCUUCCCAAGUGCAUAGAAAAACUUAGAGCAGAAACUGAUGGUACUGACUAAAUAGGAUAAUUUACAGAAGGAAGUGGAGUUAAGUGGGGGGGUGGGAAGGGGGCGUG